rnacentral:rRNA from 1 species
GACGAACGCGGCGGCGUGCUUAACACAUGCAAGUCGAACGCUGAAGCCCAGCUUGCGGGUGGUUGAGUGGCGAACGGGUGAGUAACACGUGAGUAACCUGCCCCCUUCUUUGGGAUAACGCCCGGAAACGGGUGCUAAUACGGAUAUUCAUGAUCUUCGCAUGGGGGUUGGUGGAAAGGUUUUUUCUGGUGGGGGAUGGGCUCGCGGCCUAUCAGCUUGUUGGUGGGGUGAUGGCCUACCAAGGCUUUGACGGGUAGCCGGCCUGAGAGGGUGACCGGUCACAUUGGGACUGAGAUACGGCCCAGACUCCUACGGGAGGCAGCAGUGGGGAAUAUUGCACAAUGGGCGAAAGCCUGAUGCAGCGACGCCGCGUGAGGGAUGACGGCCUUCGGGUUGUAAACCUCUUUCGCUCAUGGUCAAGCCGCAGCUUUGGGUUGUGGUGAGGGUAGUGGGUAAAGAAGCGCCGGCUAACUACGUGCCAGCAGCCGCGGUAAUACGUAGGGCGCGAGCGUUGUCCGGAAUUAUUGGGCGUAAAGGGCUUGUAGGCGGUUGGUCGCGUCUGCCGUGAAAUCCUCUGGCUUAACUGGGGGCGUGCGGUGGGUACGGGCUGACUUGAGUGCGGUAGGGGAGACUGGAACUCCUGGUGUAGCGGUGGAAUGCGCAGAUAUCAGGAAGAACACCGGUGGCGAAGGCGGGUCUCUGGGCCGUUACUGACGCUGAGGAGCGAAAGCGUGGGGAGCGAACAGG